UGGGGAAUAUUGCACAAUGGAGGGAACUCUGAUGCAGCGACGCCGCGUGAGUGAUGAAGGAAUUCGUUUCGUAAAACUCUGUUCUAUGGGAAGAAAAGGACUGUACCAUAGGAGAAAGCUCCGGCUAAAUACGUGCCAGCAGCCGCGGUAAUACGUAUGGAGCGAGCGUUGUCCGGAAUUAUUGGGCGUAAAGGGUGCGCAGGCGGCUUUACAAGUUGGAUGUGAAAUAUUGUGGCUCAACCACAAACGUGCAUCCAAAACUGCAAAGCUUGAGUUAAGGAGAGGUAAGUGGAAUUCCUGGUGUAGCGGUGGAAUGCUUAGAUAUCAGGAGGAAUACCGGUGGCGAAGGCGACUUACUGGACUUAAACUGACGCUCAGGCACGAACGCGUGGGGAGCAAACAGG
rnacentral:rRNA from 1 species